UCCCAUGGCCAGCCACUGGGUAAUGAAAGCUGUUAAAUCAGCGGCUGCCAGACAACUCCAGAGAUGGAUCCACUGGUGGAUGGCUAAUGUGUUACUUGCCUACUGAUUCCAUCUCAUAUCU